CCCCAAGCACUCUGCUCAAUGCCCUGGCCCACGCCCCCCUCAGCUCCUCCUCCUCCACCCUCGACACUCUGACACCAGGUAACAUGACAUCAUCACCGCCCCAUGUAACAUGACAUCAUCACCGCUCCAUGUAACAUGACAUCAUCACCGCCCCAUGUAACAUGACAUCAUCACUACCCCAUGUAACAUGACAUGAUCACCGCCCCAUGUAACAUGACAUCAUCCCCGCCCCAUGUAACAUGACGUCAUCACCACCCCAUCUAACAUGACAUCAUCACCACCCCAUGUAACAUGACAUCAUCACCACCCCAUGUAACAUGACAUCAUCACCAACCCAUGUAACAUGACAUCAUCAACACCCCAUGUAACAUGACAUCAUCACCACCCCAUGUAACAUGACAUCAUCACCACCCCAUGUAACAUGACGUCAUCAACACCCCAUGUAACAUGACAUCAUCAACACCCCAUGUAACAUGACAUCAUCACCACCCCAUGUAACAUGACAUGAUCACCACCCCAUGUAACAUGACAUCAUCACCACCCCAUGUAACAUGACAUCAUCACCGCUCCAUGUAACAUGACAUCAUCACUACCCCAUGUAACAUGACAUCAUCACCACCCCAUGUAACAUGACAUCAUCACCACCCCAUGUAACAUGACAUCAUCACCGCUCCAUGUAACAUGACAUCAUCACUACCCCAUGUAACAUGACAUCAUCACCACCCCAUGUAACAUGACAUCAUCACCACCAAAGGUUAAAAUGAUCCUAUGUCCUUCAGAACCACCAGUAGAGGGGCAGAAGGAGGAGGAGGGACAGGGAGAGGCGGAGAGAGAGGAGCAGAGUGAGGGAGAGGAGGAGUUGGAGAAGGAGGUGCAGAUGAAGGAGGAGUCAGAUGUGGAGGUGGACGGCGAUCGUCUGGAGCCCCGGUCUGACGACGAUGACACGUGAGUCUGGUUCUUCAUCAGUGUUUGAAAUAGGGUUACUUAUUACUUAAAACUCUAGACUCUAAACAGCCAACUGGUUCAAAACAGAGGAGCGUUGGAGGUCGCAGGUCUGGAUCAUUCCUGUGUUCUCAGGGUCCCGUGUUUACUAGGCACAGAGUGGGGACAUGACAAAGGGUCCUAUGUUCCCCAGAACCCAAUGCUAACUUUAUCUCUCUCUAAUCAGAAAACCAUGCUAGCUCUAACUCACAUGAAGAAUAGUUCACUAGCUCCGUCUCUCUCUACCAUCAGGAACUUUGAGGAGUCUGAAGACGAGCUGAGGGAGGAGGUGGCCGACUCCAUGAAGAAUCUCUUCAUCAUGGAUGAAGAUGAAGACGAGGAGCCCGGAGAGAGAGAAGAGAUAGAUGGAAGGAUAAAGAAGGAGGGAGGGGAAGAUAAGGGAUGUGGGGACCCCAGACCAACACAGGCAGAGCCAGACAGCUACCCAUUGACCAAGGCCCCUCCCUCUUCAACCGAGGCCCAAGAUGAGGGGUGUGGGGGCCAGCCCGAGCAUAUAGGUGACCCUCAGACAUCAGAUGAAGCCUCCUCCGAAGACGACGGUAAAUAGAUCAGGAUCAUAUAUAGACAGGUCUUCACUGAGAGGGUUGGUGGAAAGACGCAUGUUGAUGGAGGUUCUAGGAAAGGAAUUUCAUCACAUCUGCACAUAUAUUCCUCAAGCUUUACUUAAAUUUGAAUGUAUUUAUGCAACCAAUCUAAUAAAUGAUUCAAAUGGAAUCCAAAACGUCUGUCUCCUUCUGUUAAGUAGCAACAGAAUAGAUUUGGUUCUAUUGACUCGUCGUUCUGAUUGGUCUGCGCAGAGCAGGUGCCUUCCCUGUGCUUUCAUUAGGGGCUUAGUUUGUUAAGCAUGUCUCAUUACCAACUAGUUGCGCUUGUUUAGAACUUGAAUAAGAGUGAUAAAUGGAACCAAAGUGUUUAUUAAAGACAAGGGAAGAUAAUCAACACCUCAAAAAUACAGAUUCAUUUACACAUUUUAAUUAAAUAUGCACAAUUAUCCAACACAAAUGGGAUGGAAGAAAUGACAUUUAAACAAGCGGUUAUUUGAAGAGCCGCCUGUAGAGGAGGAAUGUAAAGGAAUAGGAUCAAGCACAGUGACACUUUAAUUUUAAUUAACAACAUCAACCCGCUCUGCAGCCAUUCAGAAACUGUAAAAUGUGAUUGGCUAGGGCAGAAAUGAUCUGCCAAUGAGCAUGCGGGAAAAAUACAGAGGUAAGACAUACAGGAAAACAGAUUUUGGUUUCUGAUUUUAACUCGUUACAUAUAACUUAUAGAACUUCAUGGUUCGAUUGUCUCUUGGUGGGCCACUUGUAGGAGUAACCACCACUAAAAUGUAUUUUCCAAUUAACAACUGAUUGGUACUGUUCAUCCUCUCUUUAAGCCUGGAAAACAGCCUCUCUCUCCUCCUCAGAUCCUGUUACUUUCUGUAAGCGUAGCUAGCAGAAGCAUUUGCGGUUAGCUGGUGCCACUUCUACAACUUUUAAGGACAUGCUAGUUUCUUACUGUUAGCAAGAGAUAAAGUUACUGUAGGGUAGUCAAUCGGUCGCUAUGGAAACCAGGACGGGGUAACCAUGGAACCUUGACGGAAUCGCCAUAGAAAAGCGAUAGUUGCCAGCUAAACAAUAAUCGAUGGCAAUGGAACCGUUGUCAAAGCCUCCAUGG
ensembl:lncRNA